AUAUAAAAUGUGUGUAUGUGUGUGUGUGUGUGUGUGUGUGUGUAUAUAUAUAUAUACACACAUACAUAUAUAUAUAUAUAUACAUAUAUA
rnacentral:miRNA from 1 species